CAGCAGUCGCCGCGGGAAUACGAAGGGGGCUAGCGUUGCUCGGAAUGACUGGGCGUAGAGGGCGCGUAGGCGGUUCGUACAGUUGGAUGUGAAAUUCCUGGGCUUAACCUGGGGGCUGCAUUUGAGACGCGUAGUCUAGAGUGUGAAAGAGGGUCGUGGAAUUCCCAGUGUAGAGGUGAAAUUCGUAGAUAUUCGGAAGAACACCAGUGGCGAAGGCGGCUCACUGGUCCAUUACUGACGCUGAGGUGCGAAGGCGUGGGGAGCAAACAGGAUUAGAUACCCCGGUAGUCCCUGUCUCUUAUAC
rnacentral:rRNA from 1 species